AUAUUUAGGAACUUUGAAAUAUAUCCUGUAUAUGGGCACUUGGGAUGUAUUGAGUUAGUAGUGCAACCGACUAAUUU
rnacentral:ncRNA from 1 species